rnacentral:rRNA from 1 species
GUGGGGAAUAUUGGACAAUGGGGGGAACCCUGAUCCAGCCAUGCCGCGUGUGUGAAGAAGGCCUUUUGGUUGUAAAGCACUUUAAGCGAGGAGGAGGCUACCGAGAUUAAUACUCUUGGAUAGUGGACGUUACUCGCAGAAUAAGCACCGGCUAACUCUGUGCUAGCAGCCGCGGUAAUACAGAGGGUGCAAGCGUUAAUCGGAUUUACUGGGCGUAAAGCGCGCGUAGGUGGCCAAUUAAGUCAAAUGUGAAAUCCCCGAGCUUAACUUGGGAAUUGCAUUCGAUACUGGUUGGCUAGAGUAUGGGAGAGGAUGGUAGAAUUCCAGGUGUAGCGGUGAAAUGCGUAGAGAUCUGGAGGAAUACCGAUGGCGAAGGCAGCCAUCUGGCCUAAUACUGACACUGAGGUGCGAAAGCAUGGGGAGCAAACAGGAUUAGAAACCCGUGUAGUCC